GUGGAAACUGUCGUUCUGUGCAUUUCUGAAUCAUGAGUAAAGUGGCUACACAGUGUGCAAUAAGUUCUGAAGGGAUCUCCACUUCAGUCUUGUCGGAUGGGCCAUUGGACUUGGGACCAACUACAUAAUUAGCACUCGACAGGUUUGAUGUACACGCAUUGAAAUGAUUCUGAGAUACUGGAGCGGCAUUACUAGUAUCUGCAGCUGUUGUUCUCACAGUUGGCAAGGCCAAAUCAUCCACGGAGAGUCUAUUACUCACAAAAUCAAUGGCUUCUUCAAUAUUCU
rnacentral:misc_RNA from 1 species